AAGUCGUAACAAGGUUUCCGUAGGUGAACCUGCGGAAGGAUCAUUAGAAAAUUUUGGAUUUUUCUCAAAUCCUUAUACCCACCUGUGCACUGUUUAAAUGUCUAUACUUUCCUGGUUCUGUAAGCUUGAAGAUUAAUCUGAGAGCUUUUGAUGUGGUUUUUGAAUUGAUCUGAAGAUUAAUUCAGAUUGGUCGUGAACUGCAAUCAGACCAGGGAAGUUUCUCAAACUCUAAUAUAUUUACCUAGUCUGAUUAAAUAUCCGUUUGGAUACUAAGAAAAUUUUGAAAUACAACUUUCAACAAUGGAUCUCUUGGCUCUC
rnacentral:misc_RNA from 1 species